UACUGGUGUAAGAGUGUAGGCCGUGACAUAGGCAAAUCCGUGUCACAUUAAGGCUGAGACUUGAUGCAUACCCGUUGUGGGGAAUUCAGUGAUCCUAUGCUGCCGAGAAAAGCCUCUAGUGAGUUCAUACACGGCCCGUACCCCAAACCGACACAGGUGAUCAGGUAGAGAAUACCAAGGCGAUCGAGAGAACUGUGGUUAAGGAACUCGGCAAAAUGCCCCCGUAACUUCGGGAGAAGGGGGACCAUGCCCGGUGAACAUCUUCACGGUGGGAGCUGGGUGUGGUCGCAGAGACCAGAGAGAAGCGACUGUUUACUAAAAACACAGGUCCGUGCGAAGACGUAAGUCGAUGUAUACGGACUGACGCCUGCCCGGUGCUGGAAGGUUAAGAGGACCGGUUAGCCGUAAGGCGAAGCUGAGAAUUUAAGCCCCAGUAAACGGCGGUGGUAACUAUAACCAUCCUAAGGUAGCGAAAUUCCUUGUCGGGUAAGUUCCGACCUGCACGAAUGGCGUAACGACUUCUCUGCUGUCUCGACCACAGACUCGGCGAAAUUGCACUACGAGUAAAGAUGCUCGUUACGCGCGGCAGGACGAAAAGACCCCGGGACCUUUACUAUAGCUUGGUAUUGGCGUUCGAUUCGGUUUGUGUAGGAUAGGUGGGAGACUGUGAAGCAUGCACGCCAGUGUGUGUGGAGUCGUUGUUGAAAUACCACUCUGAUCGUAUUGGACGUCUAACCUCGGCCCAUGAUCUGGGUUAGGGACAGUGCCUGGUGGGUAGUUUAACUGGGGCGGUUGCCUCCUAAAGAGUAACGGAGGCGCCCAAAGGUUCCCUCAGCCUGGAUGGCAAUCAGGUGUUGAGUGCAAGUGCACAAGGGAGCUUGACUGUGAGACUGACACGUCGAGCAGGGACGAAAGUCGGGACUAGUGAUCCGGCACCGGCAAGUGGAAGCGGUGUCGCUCAACGGAUAAAAGGUACCCCGGGGAUAACAGGCUGAUCUUCCCCAAGAGUCCAUAUCGACGGGAUGGUUUGGCACCUCGAUGUCGGCUCGUCGCAUCCUGGGGCUGGAGUAGGUCCCAAGGGUUGGGCUGUUCGCCCAUUAAAGCGGCACGCGAGCUGGGUUUAGAACGUCGUGAGACAGUUCGGUCUCUAUCCGCCGCGCGCGUAAGAAACUUGAGGAAGGCUGUCCCUAGUACGAGAGGACCGGGACGGACGAACCUCUGGUGUGCCAGUUGUUCCACCAGGAGCAUGGCUGGUUAGCUACGUUCGGAAGGGAUAACCGCUGAAAGCAUCUAAGCGGGAAGCCUGUUCCAAGAUGAGGUUUCUCACCACCUUGCGUGGUUAAGGCCCCCUACAGACCAUGGGGUUGAUAGGCCGGAACUGGAAGCGCAGCAAUGCGUGGAGGUGACCGGUACUAAUAGGCCGAGGGCC
rnacentral:rRNA from 1 species